GGAUCGAUAGGAACAUAAAAUUAUCAAGAUUAUGUGUACAUCGUUCAAAAGAUACCGCCUAAUACCCAAACGAAAGACGAGUCAUUUGCAUCCUUAUUUACUAUUGCAAAACCAUUGAGAUAAAGUAUUGACCUGAUCGAUGUAUUGUCUGGGGGUUUAGACCCUUAAGAAAUAUGCGGACUACACUUGGCCCAUUCAUUCAUGAACAUAUCAUGCAUGGUCCGACUCUCUCCUAACCCGGAUUCUCUAAAAGGGGAUCAAAGAUGCUUAAAAAGUAGUUCAUGGGAGAGAUGGCAUGGCUCAUGCCCAUGCAAGUGGUCUUCAACAAGGGAAGUGGGCUUUGCUGGCUUUGAUGUUUAAUUACUCUGCAUCAAACCAUUAAGAUGGAUCAACCCCUUCUUAAUCAAAUUUUGGAUAAUAUCUUUAAUCACAAAAUAAUCUUUUACCACAUGGCCCAACAUCUUAUGGUAGAUGCAAUUGUUGUGGUGAUCAUGGAGUUCCA
rnacentral:lncRNA from 1 species